rnacentral:rRNA from 1 species
GGGUGAGUAACGCGUACGCAACUUACCUCCAAGCGAGGGAUAGCCCCGGGAAACUGGGAUUAAUACCUCAUGUGAUUAUAAUGCCGCCUGGCAUAAUAAUUAAAGCUGAGGCGCUUGGAGAUGGGCGUGCGUCCUAUUAGCUAGUUGGCGAGGUAACGGCUCACCAAGGCUACGAUAGGUAGGGGGCGUGAGAGCGUGGCCCCCCACACGGGUACUGAGACACGGACCCG